GACGAACCGUACGAACGUUAUUCCGAAUCACUGGGCUUAAAGGGUGCGUAGGCGGCGCUGAAAGUAGGGUGUGAAAUCCCUCGGCUCAACCGAGGAACUGCGCUCUAAACUACAGUGCUUGAGGGAGACAGAGGUGAGCGGAACUUAGGGUGGAGCGGUGAAAUGCGUUGAUAUCCUAAGGAACACCCGUGGCGAAAGCGGCUCACUGGGUCUCUUCUGACGCUGAGGCACGAAAGCCAGGGUAGCGAACGGG
rnacentral:rRNA from 1 species